AAAGUAGGCUCAGGUAUCCCUUGGAUCGCUUGAAAGUGACUGGACUUCUCUAAGAAUCCUAUAAACCUAAGGCAUCUGAAUCUAGUGUGUGCAAGACCCACUUAUUUGCAGAUUUAAUACUCAAAGGAUUGGAUGAAUUCACAGUGCCUUUAGAAAGUGAAAGGAAAAGUUGAAGAUCACUGAAUAUAUUAGCUUUAGAAUCAGCAAAGAGGAAAGAGAACACAGACUCUGUGGACAGCAGAAAACCUGGCUUUGAGAUGGAUUUUCCAUGGUGAGAGUUACAGAGCUGCACCCAGGGCUUGUCAUGGCUCCUCUGGUCCCAUGAUAGUGAGAUGCAAAAUAUGCUGGGAACUCAUGCAAAGUGUUCCUUACUGAUGACAAGAGACACAUGAGAGGAAACAAGAUUCCUCUGGAUCUUGCUGUCUGCAUUUGAGCGUGGGCACAAUGGCAGCCAUCUUGGGGCCAUGAGAAAAUUCAGCCAAAAGACAAGUCAAUGCCUUACAGGGGGGAGAUGGAGAGAAACUGAGACCUUGAUAAUAU